CAGUCGCCACGGUAAUACGAAGGGUGCAAGCGUUAAUCGGAAUUACUGGGCGUAAAGCGCACGCAGGCGGUUUGUUAAGUCAGAUGUGAAAUCCCCGAGCUUAACUUGGGAACUGCAUUUGAAACUGGCAAGCUAGAGUCUUGUAGAGGGGGGUAGAAUUCCAGGUGUAGCGGUGAAAUGCGUAGGGAUCUGGAGGAAUAUCGGUGGCGAAGGCAAUCCCCUGGACCUGUACUGACGCUCAUGCACGAAAGCGUGGGGAGCAAACAGGAUUAGAUACCCGCGUAGUCCCUGUCUCUUAUAC
rnacentral:rRNA from 1 species